AAUAUCAGGAGGACGCAUUCGUUUUACGCAUGCGUCCUCGUGAUACUUC
rnacentral:pre_miRNA from 1 species